rnacentral:lncRNA from 1 species
AGAAGUAUUGUUUUGGAUAUGGGGAUGGAUAGUAAAAUUUUGUAAACAAAUUUCAAUUGAUAGCUUUAAAUGCAAAAGAGUGAGUAAAAUGGCAACAGAUGGGAAUGAAAUCGCGGUAAGAUGCAGUAUACAUGCUGUCAAACUGUUGGACAUGUACUGUAAGGAUCACGAUGAGGUGGGCUGUGCAACCUGCAUGGCUUCAAAUCACAAAUCGUGCAAAAAUGUCCAUUCCAUUCUGGACGAUAUCGACAUAUUAUUCGAAACAUCCGACAUUAAAGCUGUCCACAGGCAUUUACAACGAAAGUAAAGAAACGCUUGAAAACAUAGGACAGAAGAAAGACGCUCUCCUGGAAGGUUUAGAUUUGUCAAAGAAUGAAGCCAACGCAGCAAUAGAAAAUGUCAAAAGUGAAAUUGUCGCUCUUGUUGAACAUAUUGAAAAGAAGGUCAACAGAGGAAGUUGAGAACGUGUACCAAACAGCGAAAACGUGUGUUGUAAAAGAGAAAAAUAAUGUCAAACAUCAGGUUUGUAAUCUCGAGAAAGUUACGAGAGAUAUACAAACAUCAGAUGGAAAUAAGGCACAACAAUUUAUCUACAUGAAAAUUGCUAAUAAGAAAAUUAAAGAAGCAAAUGAAGUUGCGAUGCAUCUCAAAGCUAAGACAGCACAGAAAAUUGCAUUUAAAAUGGAUCCAAAUAUGUAUGCGAAUUUUCGAAAUACGACAACAUUCGGGAAAGUAAGCGGCUUAAUGCCAAACGCCGAUAUGACUAAACUCUAUACAGUCGAGCAUUACAAAGGUAUGAAUGUUAAAUUACAACAGGAUUAUACAUCUUGUAAUAUAUUUGACUCUUGCUGGAUAGAAGAUGGAUUGCUGCUUCUAGUGGAUGCAAACUAACAAAAAGUUGAAACGCGCAAACAUUACAAGUAUGACUGUGGACUGGAUACUGCAGUUUUGACAAUAAUCCGUAUGGCGUCUGUUGUACGAGUAAGCAAGAAGCAGUCGUUACAUUCUAUACCAGGACAAACUUCAUCCAGUUUGUCUCCAUUGGUUACCAGCUAACACCCUCAAGAAAAGUCGAGAUGAAUCACAAUUGUUUUGGCAUUGGCUUAUCAGGAUGAUAAGCUAUAUAUCACAGAUAAUGCCAAAACAAUAUACAUACAUGACACGGCAGGUAACGAGUUACAAGCACUAUCACAAGAUAGUUCUGGCAAUAGUAUAUUUGGUAACACAAGACAUAUUGCAUUGAAUGAUUCCAUGCAGGGUAUAUUUGUUGCAGACUGGGACAGUGCAGUUACGAUUCUCGGUGAAAAGUAUCAGCCAGUAGCUUCAUUCAGUGAUUCGGAAUUGUCCAAAGCGUCAGGAGUAUGUGUAGAUGAUAGAGGAAACAUCUUUGUAUGUGGGUAUCGUUCAUAUAACGUAUUACAGAUAGGAUAUGAUGGCAAGAAGAGAGGCGUUGUCGUAGAUAAGUCCCAUGGACUUCAAUAUCCGCGGUCUGUCUGCUUUGAUCCAGUCCAGUGCAGAUUGAUUGUUACACAGGAUAAUGACAUUGUAAAAAUCUUUGACCUUAGCUAAAUGCGAAUAUUCAUAUAAAAAUGAGCGAACUGUUUACGAAUAUAGAGUAAGCAAUGUUCAUAAACAACUUGACUUUUAUUUUAAUUGAAGAAGCAGUCCAAUUAA